rnacentral:lncRNA from 1 species
GGACACCAUGCAAAAAUCGUCUGCCUGGCCUGGUCCCCAGACAAUGAACACUUUGCCUCCGGUGGCAUGGACAUGAUGGUGUAUGUUUGGACCCUGAGUGACCCGGAAACCAGAGUCAAGAUCCAAGAUGCACACCGGCUGCACCAUGUCAGCAGCCUGGCCUGGCUGGACGAGCACACGCUGGUCACGACCUCCCAUGAUGCCUCUGUCAAGGAGUGGACAAUCACCUACUGAGGAGCCCCACCCCCGCCUCUGGAUGGACCGAAUCAGGGACUAGAGUUUAACUGCAGCGGAACAUGUCAUUUCUCUAUUUCUGUGACGCGCCCCCAUGCCCCCACCCCACCACAAGAGGCAGGAGGGCCCAGUCAUGACCCUCGUCUCUGCAGGGUGUCUGUACACGUUCUUCUGAAAGCUUUAGACAGUAACAGUUUGCACAUGAAAAAUAAAGCGAGCACCUAAACAAUGUGUGGAGCAUAACUAAAACCCACAGCCCAACCAAACCUUGAGAAUGCGAAACAUUCCAGAGGCAGUAGCCUCCAAAGCACACAGAGCCCCUGGCCCCGCCGCGGCUCUCACUAUCUGUCAGGGGAGGUUGUACAGGUGAAUGAGCCGGGGGGCUCAUGUUCCUGCCUGCAGAACAUUUCUGUACUAGUGAGAAGAGGGAAUAUGCAUUGCAGUUCAGCAAAGCCGGAAUUCUGUGUUGAACAGAUGUCUGUCUCCCUAGUGUGUGACUCACACCUUGUGGCUGCCUUCAGAGCGCCACCUCCAGAUCAGAUGGGGACACACAACCCCUGGAUAUGUUUCAUUGUCAGAUUUUGUGCUUGAUUUUAAGAAUGGAAUUGUGGGUAUCUUUCCUUUUUUUUUAAUGUAUCUUAACUGUUGCCUGUCAGUGUUUACAAACUAGUGCGUUGACGGCACCGUGUCCAAGUUUUUAGAACCCUUGUUAGCCAGACCGAGGUGUCCUGGUCACCGUUUCACCAUCAUGCUUUGAUGUUCCCCUGUCUUUCCCUCUUCUGCUCUCAAGAGCAAAGGUUAAUUUAAGGACAAAGAUGAAGUCACUGUAAACUAAUCUGUCAUUGUUUUUACCUUCCUUUUCUUUUUCAGUGCAGAAAUUAAAAGUAAGUAUAAAGCACCGUGAUUGGGAGUGUUUUUGCGUGUGUCGGAAUCACUGGUAAAUGUUGGCUGAGAACAAUCCCUCCCCUUGCACUUGUGAAAACACUUUGAGCGCUUUAAGAGAUUAGCCUGAGAAAUAAUUAAAUAUCUUUUCUCUUCACUGUGGGUCACUGACUUUGUGUGAUGGGGGUGUGUGGGGCGGCUGGGUGGGGAGGAACGUUUGUGGGAUUUUCAUGGCUUUAGAGGUCUUACCAGUCUGCAGCCUCAGGCAGGAAAUGUUUGGAACACAGGAUUGUCAGAUCCAUCAUGUGGUGGAAGGGAAGCCCCAGAGAAGGGGCUGGAACCCUCGGUUCCUGCUCCCAACCAUACCGCCAGAUCACCCUCUGACCUGGGUCACAUCCCUGCCCUUCUCUGAGCCUAAGUUUCUUUGUCAACUGAAAACACUGGACCAGAUGAUGUCUGCAUCCCAUCUACUUCUCAAAUUCUUAGCAGCCUGUAUAGCUUUCAGGCUGAGGCUGAGUUGCAUCUACAUUUUGGUUUGAGAAGAGGCAGAAAGUGUGGCAGAGGCACACGUGCAGUCUUCAGGGCCACACCCCCGCCAUGUCCACUCCCAUUUUAGGAGGAACUGUUAGUCAGAUGCAGAAGACGUAGGAAGACAAGCCACAGUUGUAUGGUUGCUGCCUGUGAAGCAGUGAGCCACCUGUCCCUGUGUGCAGCAAAUGGAUGGCAGCUCAAAGGGUUAAACUGAAGAUAAUUGAAUGAAGGGACCCUUUGGAGAGGCGCAGAUGUGAAAACAAAGCCCAAAUGAAGGACAGAUAAAGAGAGGGAGAUAUCAGCUAACCUAGACAUCUCAUAUUGGAAGUGGCAUGAGCUGCGGGGCCAGAGGAAACAGCAUGCAACCCUGACUCUGCUGUUCCAGUGCUGGGAUUGGGACAGGUUAUCUGAAGUCUCUGACAUGACAUUUCACAAUCUCUAACGUGAUAGAGGUA